AUUUCUCCCUUUUUUGUGACUCCUGAAUAAUGCAAAUCAUAUAUGCAGGGUGCUGAGCUAAUGGAAGAAAACAAGCAACUGAAACAGAAAAUGGCAAUGAUGAAUGAAGGAAAGUUGCCCUUACUCACAGACUUGGAUUGCAUGGUAAUGGAAGAAGGCCAGUCUUCUGAUCAGUCUAUUACUACCAAUGUCUCUACUAGUGG